AAGGAUUUAUUAUCAGUUUAAAAAGAGACAAUAAUUGUUCACUCACUGGUUCAAACAAUUCUCCUGCCUCAGCCUCCCGAGUGGGUGGGACUCCAGGUGCCUGCCACCACAGCCAGCUAAUUUCAGGGAUUGAUUUUAAAAGAGAAUGCCCACUCUUUCCUUGCCUAACGCAGCCAUGGCUCGUGGUCCCAAGAAGCAUCUGAAGUGGGUAGCAGCUCCAAAGCAUUGGAUGCUGGAUAAAUUGAGCGGUGUGUUUGCUCCUCGUCCAUCCACCAGUCCCCACAAGUUGAGAGAGUGUCUCCCCCUCAUCAUUUUCCUAAGGAAUAGACUUAAGUAUGCCCUGACAGGAGAUGAAGUAAAAAAGAUUUGCAUGCAGCGGUUCAUUAAGAUCGAUGGCAAGGUCCGAACUGAUAUAACCUACCCUGCUGGAUUCAUGGAUGUCAUCAGCAUUGACAAGACGGGAGAGAAUUUCCAUCUGAUCUGACACCAAGAGUCGCUUUACUAUACGUCGUAUUACACCCGAGGAGGCCAAGUACAAGUUAUGCAGAGUGAGAAAGAUCUUUGUGGGCACAAAAGGAAUCCCUCAUCUGGUGACUCGUGAUACCUGCACCAUCCGCUACCCCGAUCCCCUCAUCAAGGUGAAUGAUACCAUUCAGAUUGAUUUGGAGACUGGCAAGAUUACUGAUUUCGUGAAGUUCGACACUGGUAACCUGUGUAUGGUGACUGGAGGUGCUAACCUGGGAAGAAUUGGUGUGAUCACCAACAGAGAGAGGCACCCUGGAUCUUUUGACGUGGUUCACAUGAAAGAUGCCAAUGGCAACAGCUUUGCCACUCGACUUUCCAACAUUUUUGUUAUUGGCAAGGGCAACAAACCGUGAAUUUCUCUUCCCCGAGGAAAGGGUAUCCGCCUCACCAUUGCUGAAGAGAGAGACAAAAGACUGGCGGCCAAACAGAGCAGUGGGUGAAAUGAGUCCCUGGGUGACAUGUCAGACCUUUGUACAUAAUUAAAAAUAUUGUGGCAGGAA